AAUGAGCUACCAGCUGUUUCUUUGCUGCCACACACUCUGAGUCAUACCAGGGCUUUGAAUUGUGUUUUAUAAAGUGGGAACUAACGGGAUAAGAGUUUUUUGUUAGGACCUGUUGCAGCUCAAGGGCUAAAUUUUUGAUACGAUCAAAUAGCUAUAUCAGUGAACAGAUUCUGGAUCAACUCAUAUUGAUUGCAAAGCAAGUUAACAGCAAGGUGGAAAUCGGAGUCCUUAUCAUUGAUUAGAUGAGCAGAAUGAGUAGGCGAGUGUGGAGAAGGAAAGAAGAAGAGUGGAAGAUAAUUCUUUUAGAUGACUUCACCCCAAAGCUUCUGUCAUCAUGUGGUAAAAUGACAGACUUACUACCAGAGGGGAUCACUGUUGUGAAGAAUGUUUACAAAAACUGUGAACCAGUCUCUCAUUUAUCUCAUCACACCUACAACAGAGUCUGUAGAUGGGCUUCUAAAUGACUUUGUAAGUAAAUAAUCUAGCAAGUACAA